GAUCCUGGCUCAUGAUGAACGCUAGUUACAGGCUUAACACAUGCAAGUCGAGGGGCAGCAUGGUCUUAGCUUGCUAAGGCCGAUGGCGACCGGCGCACGGGUGAGUAACGCGUAUCCAACCUGCCUUACACUCUUGGACAGCCUUCUGAAAGGGAGAUUAAUACAAGAUGUUAUCAUGAGUAAGCAUUUUCGCAUGAUUAAAGGUUUACCGGCGUAAGAUGGGGAUGCGUU
rnacentral:rRNA from 1 species